GGGGAUGUAUUGCAUUGACGUCAGUCAACUUUAAUCAUCGCAGAUCAUCUUUGGUGAAAAGAUGUCAAACAGCACCAAUAAAUAACUGUCAAAAACAGUUUAAAAACAGUAGCUAAUAAAAUCGCCAGUCUUUUUGACUUCGGUUAUGUAGCUGCUCCAGCUUUUGCUUAAUUGCAAUUGCUGGCAUCUAGUGAUGGGCUCUUAUCGGCGACUCACAUUAGGUGACAACCCAGUCGAUUGGCAGAAAUAAAGAAGCAGAUCGCUUUAUUUCCAAGAAUAUGAUCUGGAUGAAACAAAAAAAGUUUGUUUAUUCACUUAUUGUUUCAAAUCAAAAAUAAACUAAAUCUGUAGAGAUCGUUAAAGAUUGAUUAGCGGACGCGGGAGCAAAACCCGCCAUCUCCACAA
rnacentral:tmRNA from 1 species